UACGUAGGGGGCAAGCGUUGUCCGGAAUCAUUGGGCGUAAAGCGCGUGUAGGCGGCCAGAAAAGUCCGCUGUGAAAACUCGAGGCUCAACUUCGAGCUGUCGGUGGAAACUUUCUGGCUAGAGUCCGGAAGAGGAGAAUGGAAUUCCUGGUGUAGCGGUGAAAUGCGCAGAUAUCAGGAAGAACACCCGUGGCGAAGGCGGUUCUCUGGGACGGUACUGACGCUGAGACGCAAAAGCGUGGGGAGCGAACAGG
rnacentral:rRNA from 1 species